GUGGUAACCUGCCCAUAAGACUGGGAUAACUCCGGGAAACCGGGGCUAAUACCGGAUAACAUUUUGAACCGCAUGGUUCGAAAUUGAAAGGCGGCUUCGGCUGUCACUUAUGGAUGGACCCGCGUCGCAUUAGCUAGUUGGUGAGGUAACGGCUCACCAAGGCAACGAUGCGUAGCCGACCUGAGAGGGUGAUCGGCCACACUGGGACUGAGACACGGCCCAGACUCCUACGGGAGGCAGCAGUAGGGAAUCUUCCGCAAUGGACGAAAGUCUGACGGAGCAACGCCGCGUGAGUGAUGAAGGCUUUCGGGUCGUAAAACUCUGUUGUUAGGGAAGAACAAGUGCUAGUUGAAUAAGCUGGCACCUUGACGGUACCUAACCAGAAAGCCACGGCUAACUACGUGCCAGCAGCCGCGGUAAUACGUAGGUGGCAAGCGUUAUCCGGAAUUAUUGGGCGUAAAGCGCGCGCAGGUGGUUUCUUAAGUCUGAUGUGAAAGCCCACGGCUCAACCGUGGAGGGUCAUUGGAAACUGGGGAGACUUGAGUGCAGAAGAGGAAAGUGGAAUUCCAUGUGUAGCGGUGAAAUGCGUAGAGAUAUGGAGGAACACCAGUGGCGAAGGCGACUUUUCUGGUCUGUAACUGACACCUGAGGCGCGAAAGCGUGGGGGAGCAAACAGGAUUAGAUACCCUGGGUAAGUCCACGCCGUA
rnacentral:rRNA from 1 species